UACGGAAGGCAGCAGUGGGGAAUAUUGCACAAUGGGCGAAAGCCUGAUGCAGCUAUGCCGCGUGUAUGAAGAAGGCCUUAGGGUUGUAAAGUACUUUUCAUCGGGGAGGAAAAACAAAACUAAUAAUUUUAUUUCUUGACGUUACCCGAAAAAGAAGCACCGGCUAACUCCGUGCCAGCAGCCGCGGUAAUACGGAGGGUGCUAGCGUUAAUCAGAAUUACUGGGCGUAAGAGCACGUAGGUGGUUUUUUUAAGUUCAAGAUGUGAAAUCCCUGGGCUUAACCUUAGGAACUAGCAUUUUGAAACUGAAAUACUAGAGUAUCGUAGAGGGAGGUAGAAUUCUAGGUGUAGCGGUGAAAUGCGUAGAUAUCUGGAGGAAUACCUGUGGCGAAGCGGCCUCCUAACGAAUACUGACACUGAGGUGCGAAAGCGUGGGGAGGCAAACAGGGACUUAGAUA
rnacentral:rRNA from 1 species